GGAGACCUCUACAACCCAACUUCCGAAAAGGCCAACUCGUACUCAAGCUCAAAGUCAAGUCCGAACUCCACAACAACAAGGUACGUACUCUGUUUAUUUGAUGACAAGGUCAGGCCUGGUUUGAAAGCUCAAUCUUAAAGUUCUCGAUUUGGAUGGCAAACAAGGCCAUCGGGAGUGGCUGGUAAUUAAUAAUAAAAUCAUGCACCAAAAUAUUCAAUUCAAUUGUUUAUUUUAUGUGAUUCAAAAUUGCUUAUAUAUAUAGAUGUUUCGUUUUUAUUUUCUUGGGCAAUUAAAGCACCCUCAUCUUGUAAACUUGAUCGGUUAUUGUUGCGAAGAUGAACAUAGGCUUAUUGUCUAUGAAUUCAUGCCUCGGGGAAGCUUAGACAACCAUAUUUUCAAAGGUCAUGUGACAGCUAUGAGCGAUGUAUUUAGUUAUGGAGUGGUUCUGUUGGGUCCAAUAUUAUACCUGACUUUCAUAUAUAUUGAUAUAAAUAUUAGGGAUUUUUUCAUUAAUAUACAAUAUAGGUAAAUUAAUUACAAUUAUAACGUUAAUGUGGCAUAGCAACACAAAUACCGUCCUCCCCAUUAUGAAUGCCGUCAAUUCACCCAGGCGAGCGUGCACCGCAUCCAACAAAUAAUUUCAUUUUAUUUUUCUUUUUUGUAAAUAUAAAGUUUUCACUAAAAUCUAAAAACAUUUUCUGUUUUGCUUUUUUUUUUUUU